rnacentral:rRNA from 1 species
AUUGAACGCUGGCGGCAGGCCUAACACAUGCAAGUCGAACGAUUGGCGGACGGGUGAGUAAUGUCUGGGAAACUGCCUGAUGGAGGGGGAUAACUACUGGAAACGGUAGCUAAUACCGCAUACCAUCCGAUGUGCCCAGAUGGGAUUAGCUUGUUGGUGGGGUAACGGCUCACCAAGGCGACGGUCCCUAGCUGGUCUGAGAGGAUGACCAGCCAAAACGGAAAUGGGAAAAGGGCCAAAAGCCUACGGGAGGACGAAGGGGGGAAAUUUGGACAAUGGGGGAAAGCCGUAUGACACAAAGCCGGGGGGAUGAAGAAGGGCUUCGGGUUGGAAAGGACUUUCAGCGGGGGGGCGGUACCCGCAGAAGAAGGACCGGCGAACUCCGGGGCAGCAGGCGCGGUAAUUC